GCCAGGUGUAAUUUUCGAGUCCGUCACCCAUUUACUAGGUCUCACUAAUCAGGAAUCAUCUAUGGUUGAAUCUAGCAAUCGAUUUAUAAGAGAGUUAGUUCUGCAUCUUCAUAUGUGAAUACAAGAUCCAGUGAUAGAAAACAAACUGAUGGAGUUGAGAAAUUAAUUCUUCCAUUCUUGGAUGGAACUGAUCCUGAAGGUUGGAUCUAUAAAGCUGAAUUGUAUUUCGAAUUUUAUGGAACACCACCACUACAACAAGUUAAAAUUGCAAGUUUUCAUUUUGAUGUAAGGCUUUACAGUGGUAUAAAUGGAUAAAAUCGAUUGAGCCAAUACAAACUUGGGUAGGGUUUUCAACUGCUUUGCUUAAAAGAUUUGGUAGAAAUCAUUAUGAUGAACCAGCUGGGUCAUUCACAAAAUUGAGUCAAAUGGGUUGUCAAGAUGAUUACAAAGAAGAGUUUAUAGAAGCAACGAAGAUUGGUAGCAGAAUUCAGCCUAGUUUUCUCAAUUUCAUCGGAAGAAAACCUGGAUAAAUCUCUUGAUUCUGAGAUGAUUCCUUCGUUCUUCUUUGAUGCAGACAAUUUAAUAAGCCUAAACCAACAUGAAGGAAAACCCAUCACUGAAUUGGGUAAUUCUAUUGAAAUUAAGGUCUUCCAAUUGAAAUUUCUUCUAGUAAGAUGGUACUAAGCUACAACAAGCGGAGAUUCAGUUAACUAUUGAGGUGGUGAAUUUUAAGUACUUGAAGGCGAUAAAUAGAAACGUCCUAUUAAUCUGUCAAUUUGGAUGAAUGGACUCAGUGGAAAGCCUGAAUACUGUUUAGAAGUGUUAUUUGAGUCUUCAAAUGUGUUUGUGUUUGUCAAAAACGGGGAGAAGCAUAAUGCUUGCAAGUUAUUUGAUAUGAUAUUACAGUUGGCUCUCUGGUUUAAAUUGAUACUUCAAGUGACAAGGGAAAUUGAAUUUGGUAAUGCCCCGGAAGUGUUUGUUGAAAUGUUUGUGAAAACUGAAUUUGUAUUACUCUUGUUAGUUAUAUGAGUUGAGAUUGCAAAGCCACUAGGACAGUUGGGUAGAAUGCUUGGGAAUAUGUUGUGGAGUUGGACCGGUUAUGAUGAUAAUAUUCUCUUGCAACUCCAAAUUGGUUUACAUAAUGCCAUGUGAGUCCUAUUUGGCGAAUUGUCGAAAGGUGGAUGCGAUGGAAAAUGGGCAUGGGAAGGUGCUGCCAAUACACUUGAAGGAGUUUGAGUAUCUUCUAAUUCUUCUUUCAGUUCUCAUAAAUGUGAGAGAUCACUUCUAUCUUACAGAAAAUGAGUUCCUCCUGGCUCUGUCUUUUACUUGUUGAGAAAAUUCGGAAGAGAAUUUUUCAUUCCAAUUGGAUUAAUUUGCACACACUUAACUAUGCUCCGUAUGCUACUUCUUGUUAUAACUCAUCGCUAGGUUCAUACAAAAUUGAUUUCGCUUGGUAUUUUCUUCCUUGUUCCAUUUACAUAUGGGGAUAUAGCUGUAUCGAUUGUAUACUUGCAAGGUUAGUAGCAAUUCUUCUCACCAUUGUAGCAUUCCAGUUUGUGGUUUGCUAGAGGAGGAAAUCAGCCGCAACUUAUGAUGCACAGUUCCAUUGUGUACUGCUGGUGGGUGUUCUUGAGCAGGGAUGGAUUUUAAAUAUUUCUGCACCAGUGUCUUUUCUAAGUGGGUAUAAUGGUAAGUGGGAUGUUUGUGCUUCUAAAACUUUAGCUCGUUAUGGUACUGAGAUUACAAUUCGUGAGCUUCCUUUUCACCCUGUCGGCUCGGAAACCAUUGGUGGAGUUGACAGAAAUGUGAUAUCCGAGUUGCGUUGCUAAUAGUAGAUUGUUGUAUGGAACAUCUUUUGCAGACAAAUUUGAGGAUGCAAGGAGUAAAAAGAUUCUGGAAAAUAAGAUUCAAGAAAUAGUUAAAUUAAAUGGAUUUACAAGUGGUUACUGUCAAAUGAUAUGGUUGAAAUAAAUAGAGGCAAAGGGAAGGUAAUUGGACCCAUAAAAUUGAGUUAGCCCGAAUUAAUGGGACAAAACCGAAUUUUUCUGUAAAAGAUCAGUCGGUACUCGGUAGCUACAAGUGGUAGAGAUAGGUGGCCUAAUAUUCCUGGGAAGGAGCUGGAUAUCACGUCUGCCGAAGCUUGUAUCUUGGAUGAACUGCCCAAGAGGCGUGCAACUCCAACUACAGCUUCUUAUUUGGAUGCAAAAUCCACGAAAACUCCUCGACAUACAUGCAGCAGUCUGCAACUAGCAUACAGGCAGCAGUCCACAGCUCGAAGAGUGUUUGAUGCCCUAAAUUGGAAAGGGCUCUAUUUCUGACGACAACUUCGGACUUCGGUGUUGGCUGAUCAAGUAGAUGUAAUUUGCAAAUGAUGACAUAUUGGUCGCAGCUUAAACCUUGAGGACAGGAAUGAUAGGACUCGGCCACAAACGUGACCAAGGAUGGCUUAUUAGAGUUACCGCGGCAUUAAUUUGUCCAUCUGCUUGCCUCAUUUGUUUGUUUAUUUGUUUUUAUUUAUUAUCAUAGUCAUGUAAAUAGUUUUUCGUGGAGUAAAAGUGUAAACAGAUAAACACUCAAUAUGGGUAUUAUUUGGA